rnacentral:misc_RNA from 1 species
GAAAGGUUUUGGAAAAAAAAAGUCGAUUCCCUUUUGUGACCAAGAGCCCAUCUCGAAUACGAUGCGGUUAGGGUACUCGUGACUCUGCUGGUGGCUGCCACUGCCUCACACUUAAAUGCCGCCAGCUCUGUCUUCCUACUUUUUAGGCAUCCGCGACCUGGUUGGUCCGUCCAAGCUUAUACUCUAGCACCAUAUCAAUCAAACUUGGCAAGUUUGUCUUGCUUGCCAUCGUCCCUGUUUUGGCGUGAGUUUUUUCUGGGUCAGGAAGUCACUCGUCGCCACAUUAUCCGUCUUGACCACGAAUCGUGACCCGCCUCCACGUUCUCAAGUAGUGCACUCUUGCUUUCAUCUCCUUCUCUUGGACCACGCCUCUCGGUCUCAUUGAGCUUUCGGCUCUCAUAUGCUACUGGGUUACCUUAUUGUACUAGCACACCGCCUAUGGCAUAGUCUGACGCAUCCGUGUGUACUUCAAAUGGCUUAGUGUGAUCUGGCAACUGCAAUACGGGGUCAUCAAUCACUGCCUGCUUUAGGUCCUCAAAAGCUCUUUGACACUCUUCCGAUCAGUGCAGUGCCAUGAUCGGUCCGUACGUCCUUCUUUAGGAGAUUUUUGAGUUGAGCAGCCCUCUUCGAGUAACUUACGAUGAAUCUUCGGUAAUAGUUCACGAGCCCUAAAAACGAUUUUAGCUCACUCACCUUGGUGGGUGCUUGCCACUCCUCGAUGGCUCUGAUGCCCAUCCAAUGCCCUAGGAAUAGGAUCUCCGUCUGUUCAAAGGAGCAUUUCUCUUUCUUUAUUUACAUAGAGGUGAUUCUUCCUUAAUACCUUAAAAACGGUCCGGAGGUGGCUAACGUGGUCGUUUAACGAAUAGCUAUAGCCCACGAUUAAAGUAUACCACCAGUCGUCUAAGUACGGGUGGAAUAGCUCAUUGUGGAGGGUGCAGAACGUGGCAGGGGCAUUGGUGAGUCCAAAAGAAAAGGCAUAACCAGAUCAAACGCCCGGUUGGUUGCUUGCUUUUCACACGGGUCGUCUUUGGCUCGUCUCCUUCCGCGAUACGCACCUGGUAGUAGCCCGACUGUAGAUCCAACUUCGAGAAGUAUCUCGCGCUUCUUCUGGAAUAAAACAGGGGCUCCCCAACCUUUUCCCCAGCAAUAUAGGGAAAAACAGCCUUGGAGGCUGGAAUAUAAAUAUAAAUUCUAAAUAGGCCUCAAUGAGUUCCUGAAAUUCUUUCCUGAGCUCAAUCAAUCCCCUUAACUAAUAGAUGCUAGUUGGGGGGCCAUCUGCUAAACCUAGCCCCAGUCUAAAUAGUUGGGGGUUUGGCUCCAGGCUCCAACUCGAUCUUGUGGUAGACUGCCCUCCUAGGGGGCACUCGGCAACUCACUCGUGGGGCAUGAUAUUCCAUAAUUUCUCAAGUACUUGCUGCACUUCCUGAGAAAGAAGUCGUCUUGGUAUUGGA